UGGGGAAUAUUGGACAAUGGGCGAAAGCCUGAUCCAGCCAUGCCGCGUGUGUGAAGAAGGUCUUCGGAUUGUAAAGCACUUUAAGUUGGGAGGAAGGGCAGUUACCUAAUACGUGAUUGUUUUGACGUUACCGACAGAAUAAGCACCGGCUAACUCUGUGCCAGCAGCCGCGGUAAUACAGAGGGUGCAAGCGUUAAUCGGAAUUACUGGGCGUAAAGCGCGCGUAGGUGGUUAGUUAAGUUGGAUGUGAAAUCCCCGGGCUCAACCUGGGAACUGCAUUCAAAACUGACUGACUAGAGUAUGGUAGAGGGUGGUGGAAUUUCCUGUGUAGCGGUGAAAUGCGUAGAUAUAGGAAGGAACACCAGUGGCGAAGGCGACCACCUGGACUGAUACUGACACUGAGGUGCGAAAGCGUGGGGAGCAAACGGGAUUAGAUACCCAUGUAGUCCCUGAGCGGGCUGGCAAGGCGCAU
rnacentral:rRNA from 1 species